rnacentral:rRNA from 1 species
UACGGAGGGGGCUAGCGUUGUUCGGAAUUACUGGGCGUAAAGCGUGCGCAGGCGGUUUUGUAAGUCUGUCGUGAAAUCCCCGGGCUUAACCUGGGAACUGCAUUGGUGACUGGCAGGCUUUGAGUGUGGCAGAGGGAGGUAGAAUUCCACGUGUAGCAGUGAAAUGCGUAGAGAUGUGGAGGAAUACCGAUGGCGAAGGCAGCCUCCUGGGCCAACACUGACGCUCAUGCACGAAAGCGUGGGGAGCAAACAGG